GGUAGCUCAGACGGUAGAGCAGAGGACUGAAAAUCCUUGUGUCGGCGGUUCGAUUCCGUCCC
rnacentral:tRNA from 1 species